CUAGAACUAGUUGAACGGGAGGCAACAGACUGGCUUCAAUGGCUCAGCUGGUUGGUGCAGAGUGACUGCGUUCACCACCCGCCUGCAAUGUGUGUAGACCGAGUACAGAAGUUUAGUAGCUCCGGAACCAUUUAAUCAGAGUUCUAGGUUCCAUCCCCAUCAGGAACGUGUGUGUAGACUGAGUACAGAAGUUUAGUAGCUCCGGAACCAUUUAAUCAGAGUUCUAGGUUCCAUCCCCAUCAGGAACGUGUGUGUAGACUGAGUACAGAAGUUUAGUAGCUCCGGAACCAUUUAAUCAGAGUUCUAGGUUCCAUCCCCAUCAGGAACGUGUGUGUGUAGACCGAGUACAGAAGUUUAGUAGCUCCGGAACCAUUUAAUCAGAGUUCUAGGUUCCAUCCCCAUCAGGAACGUGUGUGUAGACUGAGUACAGAAGUUUAGUAGCUCCGGAACCAUUUAAUCAGAGUUCUAGGUUCCAUCCCCAUCAGGAACGUGUGUGUAGA